UACGGGGGGAGCAAGCGUUGUUCGGAUUUACUGGGCGUAAAGGGCGCGUAGGCGGCCAACUAAGUCAGAUGUGAAAUCCCCAGGCUUAACCUGGGAACUGCAUCUGAUACUGGAUGGCUUGAAUCCGGGAGAGGGAUGCAGAAUUCCAGGUGUAGCGGUGAAAUUCGUAGAUAUUCGGAAGAACACCAGUGGCGAAGGCGGCUCACUGGACUGGUAUUGACGCUGAGGUGCGAAAGCGUGGGGAGCAAACAGG
rnacentral:rRNA from 1 species